rnacentral:rRNA from 1 species
UACGAAGGGGGCUAGCGUUGUUCGGAAUCACUGGGCGUAAAGCGCACGUAGGCGGAUUUUUAAGUCAGGGGUGAAAUCCCGAGGCUCAACCUCGGAACUGCCUUUGAUACUGGCGAUCUUGAGUCCGGAAGAGGUGAGUGGAACUCCUAGUGUAGAGGUGGAAUUCGUAGAUAUUAGGAAGAACACCAGUGCGAAGGCGGCUCACUGGUCCGGUACUGACGCUGAGGUGCGAAAGCGUGGGGAGCAAACAGGGAUUAAGAAACCCUGUACGGUC